GAUACCCUUAAAAUUAAAAAAGAAAAGAAGAAGAAAGAAAUUCAUCCUAAUUUUGCAUGGAUGCAUUUGUACACAUCAAGGAAGACAGGUGAAGAAAAAAUAUACUAGUUGGCUAGUUGGUAUAGGCAAGAAACUCAAAUUUCCUCCCAAAUGAAGAAUUGGAGUUCUGAUUCAAGUGAUUCAAAAGAAGAAUUCUAACACAAUAAUUUUGCUCGUGCUUGAUUUUCUCAAAGAACCUAUCAUUAUCCACAUUUGAAAUUUGGUUACAGUGAUUCUAGCGAUUUCAACAAAGAUUCUAAUGCAGUUUGGAACAAAAUAACAAGGAUGGACGGUGGUAAAAAUAUCAAGACAGAUGGAACUUGUCUUGAUGAACCUUUCUUAAUGAGAAGAGGAAAAGAUGGAUGUUUGUGGGAUACCAAUGGGCACAUUCUCUAUUCUCCUCUUCCUUGCUGUGUCCCUUUGCCUGGAUUUGAAAACAUACGAUUUUGUGUUUCACAAUAUGAUGA